GAAGAGAAUUCUUGAGAAACCCUUAGAGCUGCAACUUAGUGUCUGCAAAGCAUUUUUUUGAAGAACAAGGACAUCAAGGUGAAUGCCAGCACAGAGACAGUGUUUACGGAAAGAAUCUGAGUUGGACAAGGGUUCCUGUGUUCCAGACUGGCGUCUCCUAUGUGAUGUACCCAUAUGAUAUUUGCAGAAUGAGAACAACAUUCAGUUAGUGCUGUUGGAUAAGUCGAAGCUGGAUGAACUCAAACAUCAGUAUACGAGCUAUUGAAGGGAACUUUAUAAUGUGGCAUAUCUGAUGCUGUUGGCCUUGACUACUUGAUAAAAUCUCUACACUGAACUGAAUUGCAAUAAAUGAGGCAAGAAGACCAGUGCUUUCAAGUUCCCACUGCGGUUGCUUCUCUGAAGGACUGUGAGCCAAAAUAAGGCCUUUUGUCCUUCACAGGAAAAGUGUCAGGCUCUGAGUUACAGCUGCUGAAUCACUUUUGAUUUAUUUCUGUGCAAGAAGAUGGACAUGCAUCUCUCUCUCUCUCUCUCUCUCUCUCUCUCUCUCUCCUCUGCUCUACCUCCUACAUGCAAAUCCUGAUGUAAAGGUCUCAUCUAACACUCCAAUGUCAUGUCUAUCUGCUUCCCUCAAUGACUAUGGGCUAACUCUGAAACGCCCACCAACCAAAAUAUCAUCAGCAAAAUAUCUUCCAACGUGUCUGCUUCGCAAAAUGUCUUAAGAGUUUCCAGAAAAACAUCACAACUGGGUCUUUAAGGAGACCAGAAAUUUCCACUUCAAGUUGGUACCACUUCUUAUCAGCAUCAGAACUUGGGAGAGCAGCAGUACAAAACAGAAUUGAAGAUUAACAGAAUUAGGUGACUCUCUGAGCUGCAAUCCUCUGCACUUUAUAGCAUGAGGCUGUCACUAAGGAAAGUGAUCCAUCCACACCUGAGGCUGGGGGUGGUGAGGGCGUGAGUAGCUAACAGAUCAAAUAGAUGGGAGUCACACUUCCUUGGAAAUGAAUCAGAUGAGCACUGAAACAAACAGCUGGAUUUCUAGAUGUCCCAUACCGAAAAGGACUCUCCAUAUCACUGUUUUAUUUUAGGAAUCCAUACACCUGCAGAUGCCUUGCAAAAGAGUUUUCAGCAAUGUCUUCUUUCACUUUGUCUGGGGUGGGAGAUGCUUGUUGAUCUGACUCUGGUUGCUUUGACAUUGCUGGUGCUUCCUGAGUACAAUUUUCAGCUGCAGUUAAAGGGAGAUUAUUUUCGUGACACAUGAAGAUGCAAAUAUUUCUAUGCUUUGAAGGAAGUAUGCACAGGUAGGGACUAUUAAAAGAUAAUCUAGAGAAAAGGUAAGCUGUGAAGGCUGAGGGAAUGAAGUAGAAGAUUGUUGUGGGUUGCCCUGGUGCUGUUUGUAUUUUGAUGCUAAUUCCACU
rnacentral:lncRNA from 1 species